ACAGAAAAGUGACGCAUACGAAAUCUUGGAUGACUCUGUAGAAGCCAGCCCUAUCGUGGACAUAAAUGACCACAGCUACCUGCCGACAUCGGAUAGCAGCAUGGAAUUGUUUGGCCAGCAGAAGAGGUUGCCCUUAUCGAAGCAUAAAAAGGCCGGGACCUUUGUCUGCUUGGAGAAGAGAGGCAUUAUUCAUAUGGGCAUUCAGCCAAGUACCUGACCUAAACCUUGAUGGAUGCUGAGACGACAAUGAUAAUCCGCUUUGUGCAUGUGCAGGUUGGAGAGUCAACAGAUGUGAAAACAAGCCCACACGUGGAACCAGCAGGCUUGAUAACGGGCUUUGCUUAUCUGAAGCACAUUGAUCUGAAGGUUGCCUCACUAACGACUGACCGCCAUCUAGGGAUCAGAAUACCUGCGUGACCAUGAUAAUGAUGUCAACCAUGAGCUAGACAGCUGGCAUGUUGCC
rnacentral:lncRNA from 1 species